GUGAACGCUGGCGGUAGGCCUAACACAUUCAAGUCGCACGGCAGCACAGUAAGAGCUUGCUCUUACGGGUGGCGAGUGGCGGACGGGUGAGGAAUACAUCGGAAUCUACUUUUUCGUGGGGGAUAACGUAGGGAAACUUACGCUAAUACCGCAUACGACCUACGGGUGAAAGCAGGGGAUCUUCGGACCUUGCGCGAUUGAAUGAGCCGAUGUCGGAUUAGCUAGUUGGCGGGGUAAAGGCCCACCAAGGCGACGAUCCGUAGCUGGGCUGAGAGGAUGAUCAGCCACACUGGAACUGAGACACGGUCCAGACUCCUACGGGAGGCAGCAGUGGGGAAUAUUGGACAAAGGGCGCAAGCCUGAUCCAGCCAUACCGCGUGGGUGAAGAAGGCCUUCGGGUUGUAAAGCCCUUUUGUUGGGAAAGAAAAGCAGCAGGUUAAUACCCCGCUGUUCUGACGGUACCCAAAGAAUAAGCACCGGCUAACUUCGUG
rnacentral:rRNA from 1 species